AUGGCGGACCUCAUACAGAAGCUCAUGCUAGAGACGCCUGCACCGGCAUGGUUUCUGUUCCUGCUCCCCCUCCUCCUAUUGUCUCUCCAUCACUGGUUCACCAAAAAGACAGGAUCGACAGGGCAGUGCCUCCCGCCUUCGCCAUCGGCGCUGCCUAUUAUCGGACACCUGCACCUCGUGGGCUCCCUCCCGCACAUCUCCCUCCGUGGCCUCGCCAGGAAGCAUGGCCCCAACGUGAUGCUCCUCUGACUGGGCGCCGUGCCAACCCUCGUCGUGUCUUUGCCGCACGCAGCAGAGGCGGUGCUGCACAUGCAUGACCAUAUCCUAGCGUCGCGGCCCCGCUCCGCCAUCUCCGACAUCAUAAUGUACGGCUCUUCCUACAUCGCGUUCGCACCAUAUGGCGAGUACUGGCGGCAUGCGAGGAAGCUCGUCACCACCCACAUGCUGAGCGUUAAAAAGGUUCAAUCUUUCCGCAGCGACAGGAUGGAGGAGGUCAGCAUGGCGAUGGCAAAGAUCAACGAGGCAGCCACAACCAGUGGUACAGUCGACACGAGCGAGCUACUCAACUCAUUCUCAAAUGACAUGGCGUCCCGUAUCGUGUCGGGCAAGUUCUUCCUGAAAGAUGGACGGAGCAAGUUGUUUCGGGAACUCAUCAACGAUACCUCGCGGCUUUUGGGCGGGUUCAACUUGGAGGAGUACUUCCCAGCAUUGGGUAGGGCAGGAGUGCUUAAGAGGGCAGUUUGUGCCAAGGCCGAAAGAGUGAGGAACAGAUGGGCUGAUCUGUUGGACAAGGUGAUCGACGAUCGUGUGAGCAAGCGCAAGUCAGCGUUUGAUCACAAGGAUGGGGAUUUUGUGGAUAUUUUGCCAUCUAUUCAGCCGGAGUAUGAUCUCACAAGAGAGCACAUGAAAGCUCUUCUCACAGUAAGUUAG
rnacentral:rRNA from 1 species